rnacentral:rRNA from 1 species
UGCUUAAGACAUGCAAGUCGUACGAGAAAGCCCGCAAGGGCAAGUAGAGUGGCGCACGGGUGAGUAAUACCUAGGUAACGUACCCUUACGCGGGGGAUAACCAGAGGAAACUUUGGCUAAUACCGCAUGACCCCAGAGAGACCUCGGUCUUUUUGGGGAAAGCCGUAAGGCGCGAAAGGAGCGGCUUAGGUCCCAUUAGCUAGUUGGUCGGGUAACGGCCUACCAAGGCUACGAUGGGUAGCUGGUCUGAGAGGAUGGACAGCCACACUGGUACUGAAAUACGGACCAGACUCCUACGGGAGGCAGCAGUUAGGAAUCUUGCGCAAUGGGCGAAAGCCUGACGCAGCGACGCCGCGUGGGUGAAGAAGGCCUUCGGGUUGUAAAGCCC